ensembl:processed_transcript
AUCACUGGUCACUCACGCAGCAAUGAACCCUUGCCAGAUUUUUGCGUCGUUGGUUAUGUCUAUAUGCUGUCACAUACUGUCGUCAACAGCAUGGUCUGUGAAUAACUUCCUGAUGACAGGACCAAAGGCUUAUCUCGCAUACACCAGCAGUGUACAAGCUGGGGCUCAGAGUGGUAUAGAAGAGUGCAAGCAUCAGUUCGCAUGGGACAGGUGGAACUGCCCGGAAAGCGCACUGCAGUUAUCGACGCAUAAAGGCCUGCGGAGUGCCACCAGAGAGACCGCCUUUGUGCAUGCUAUAAGUGCUGCUGGAGUUAUGUACACUUUGACGAAAAACUGCAGCAUGGGGGACUUCGAAAACUGUGGCUGUGACGACUCCAAGAUCGGAAAAAUGGGUGGUCGUGGUUGGGUUUGGGGAGGUUGCAGUGACAAUGUUAACUUUGGAGACAGAAUUGCUAAACUAUUUGUAGACGCGCUGGAAAAUGGUCACGACUCUCGCGCCGCGGUCAACCUGCAUAACAACGAAGCUGGUCGACUUGCUGUUAAAGCAACACUCAAAAGGACCUGUAAGUGUCAUGGUUUGUCUGGAAGCUGUAGUAUUCAGACAUGCUGGAUGCAGCUUGCUGAUUUCAGAGAUAUCGGCUCCUACCUAAAAAUCAAGCAUGAUCAAGCACGGAAGUUGGAGAUGGAUAAAAUUCGGAUGAGGGCAGGCAAUAGCGCGGACAACCGUGGCGCAAUAGCGGACACGUUCAGCGCAGUUGCGCGCACAGAACUCAUUUUUAUGGAAGAUUCACCUGAUUACUGCGUGAAAAACCUCAGCAUGGGACUACAUGGAACUGAAGGCAGGGAAUGUCUACAAAGCGGGAAGAAUCUUUCUCAAUGGGAGAGAAGAAGCUGCAGGCGGCUAUGCCACGAAUGUGGCCUGAAAGUAGAAGAGAGGAGGAUUGAGACAGUGAGCAGCUGUAACUGUAAAUUUCACUGGUGCUGCACAGUCAAAUGCGAAACAUGCACUCAAACCGUUACCAGGUAUUUUUGCGCAAAAAGGCACAGAAAUCGCCGGCCGCACAACCAUUCACGCAAAAGACAACACACGCGUCGUGGAUGAAGUAAUCCUCUUUGCAAAUAUGUAAAGCUGUAUAUUUCUAAUGUAAAUAUAUUUUAUGAGAUUUUAAGAUAUAAUUUUCUGUAUAUUUCUGCAAGCAAAAUGUAAAUUGACGCUCUAUAUAAGACACAUGGGCUUUCUCGUUCCCACUGUCAAUUGAAUUCAUUGAAGUUCUAUUUUGAAGUUCAUUAUUUGCACUUUUUCGUUCUCGACAUAAGAUCACAGAUUUUGUUGCUCUCAAAAAAUGUUUGUAUUUUUUCAUGCACAGAUCACUUGACAGUAUGCAGUGUUUCACGAUGAGGUUUAAAUGUUGUGUUUUAUGGAACUUAUUUAAGGCAAAUAUUUUAUAUUGUUAUUUUUUAAACUCACAUUGUUUAUAUGUAAAUAUUAAAUUGACUUAUUUUGUAGUGGGAAGCACAUUAGAUAUUUAAAACGAAAAAUCACUGUCUCCUAGUUGUCAAUUUAAUUGCGCGGUUUGGAUGCCAUUGGUUAAAAAGUUUAUUGGUAAAUUAAAGGUGUAAAAUCACACUCAACCACACUUGAAUAAUGCAUCUGCCCCAGCAACUUUGGGAUCAUGCCCGCAGAGGGAGAAUCAUCUGUCGUGUAUUGGCAUCCUUUGAAGUUCUGGAGGCGUUUCCUUGACUUGGCUGUGAAGUAUGGACCAAUAGCUUGGUAGGAAUUCUGCAACAAUAGGUAUUCUUCCUUCUGACCCCCUUUGGAGGAAUAUAAAGUACACGACGGAGCGCGCAUCACUUCCUCGAAUCAGUACAUUGCCUUUGUCUUAUCACUUUGGAUUUAAAAUAAUGGCUUACUUCUUCCGUUGGGCCUUUCUAUUCCCUAUUUGGGACAAAGCUAUCCUUGGACACACUUGGACAAUGAACAAUUUGCUGAUAACUGGGCCAAAGGCUUAUCUUACCUAUGCAAAUAGUGUGCGGGUUGGGGCACAGAGUGGGAUACAUGAGUGCAAACACCAGUUUGCAUGGGACAGGUGGAACUGCCCGGACACCGCUCUGCAACUCUCUACUCACAAAGGCUUGAGAAGUGCAACAAGAGAGUCAUCAUUUGUCCAUGCAAUAAGCGCAGCCGGCGUAAUGUACACUUUAACCAGAAACUGCAGUCUUGGAGAUCUAAACGAAUGCGGGUGUGACAGCUCGAGGAACGGCAGACUUGGGGGUCGUGGCUGGCUAUGGGGAGGAUGUAGCGACAACGUGGAUUUUGGAGAGAGAAUUUCUAAACAAUUCGUGGAUGCGCUUGAGACUGGACAAGACGCCCGAGCUGCAGUUAAUCUUCAUAAUAAUGAAGCUGGACGUUUGGCUGUAAAAGCGACAAUGAAGAGGAUUUGUAGAUGUCAUGGCAUGUCAGAAAGUUGCACAAUGCAAACAUGCUGGAUGCAACUGGCUGACUUCCGUGAGAUUGGCAAUUACCUGAAAGUGAAGCACGAUCAGGCCCAGAAACUCGAGAUGGACAAAAGACGAAUGCGCGCAGGCAACAGCGCAGACAACCGCGUGACCAUGACAGACGCAUUCGGCUCCAUCGCCCGAACAGAGCUCAUAUAUCUAGAGGAUUCGCCGGAUUAUUGUGCCAAAAACCUGAGCCUUGGACUUCCUGGCACAGAGGGUCGGGAGUGCGUGCAACACGGGGAAAGUCUGUCUCAAUGGGAAAGGCGAAGCUGCCGCAGACUGUGCCAUGAGUGCGGUCUGCGGGUGGAGGAAAGGCGCACGGAGGUCGUUAGCAGCUGCAACUGCAAGUUUCAUUGGUGCUGCACUGUAAAGUGCGAGAACUGCUCCCAGGUCACUGUCAAACACGUCUGCACCCGCAGACACGGAAGCCAUGGUCAUAACAGGCGUAGACCUCGAGGACCAAAAUAAAACACGCCUAAAACUGUUUUAUUCGAAGAAUACCUGCACUUUUUCUUGUUUGCCA